rnacentral:lncRNA from 1 species
GGGAGGGGGAAGCCUCGCCUGGGGGGCGGCAGUGGCCUGGGCGGCUCUCCGGCUGCUGUUGUAUGGCUGCACGUUGGCGCUACCGGACGGGAUGCUGUAUCCCCGAGAGAGCCCGUCGUGGCAGCGCAAGCAGCUGGACGGCCUCUGAAGCUUCCGCGCCGACUUCUCCGACAACCGACGCCGGGGCUUCGAGGAGCAGAGGUACCGGCGACCGCUGUCGGAGGCGCGGACUCGGGGCAGGGCCAGGAGUCGCCCGGAAGCCCGGCGGUGGGAAUGGGUCAGGCCCCACCGUGGACAUGCCGGUUCCCUCCAGCUUCAACGACAUCGGCCAGGGCUGGCGGCUGCGGCAUUUUGUCAGCUGGUUGUGGUAUGAACGGGAGGUGACCCUGCUGGAGCGAUGGAUCCAGGACCUGUGCACAAGAGUGGUGCUGAGGAUUGGCAGUGCCCACUUCUAUGCCAUCGUGGUAUCCCAAGGGUUACUUUGUCCAGAACACAGACUUUGACUUCUUCAGCUACGCAGGACUGCUGUGGUCUCUGCUUCUAUACACGACACCCCCCACCUACAUCGAUGACGUCACCGUCACCACCGGCGUGAAGCGAGACAGUGGUGAGGGCUUCUGGACUGGAUGGAGGACCUGAAGACGUGAGGUGGAGGCACAGGUAGAAGAGAAGAUUCUCACCAUCGCUGAUUCACACAAAAGCGUAA